AUUAGUUGUCAUCCACCUUGAAUUAUUAGCUAUCGUGAUUGGCCUGUGCUGAGUUAGAUCUUGGCCAAUCACAGGGCUUCACUUUGAACUUUAUAGAUUAGUUUGGUGGCGUCUUAACAGUAGAGUAGGAGCUUCAUUUGUUAAAUGUGAAAGUUUGUGUAAUUAUUUAUAAAAUGACCCUCUGCCUGGUUUUUGGAUGACCCCACAUCUGCUUUCAUUCUGGAUGAUGAAGGAGGGAGACGUGUCCGGAGGCAGGAGGAGAGGAAGGUAAAGAGAGUGGAACUGAGGGUAGGACCUUUGAAUGGAUGUGGUGAGAGAGGACAUGCAGGUGAUGGGUGUAACAGAACAAGAUGCAGAGGACAGAAAGAUAUGGAAGAAGAUGAUCCGCUGUGCCAACCACUAGCAGGAGCAGCCGAAAGAAGAAGAAGUAUCGGUGUAUACAAAUUGGCUAUAAUGAAAAAUGCAAUGAAGUUUACUAGUACAAGCAGCUAGCACCUUGAAAUGGGCAUAUUAAGAAUGAUGUCCUUGAGAGAGAAUGUUGCAGCAGAUGUUAUAAGUACUGACGACUGUUGCAGCCUAUUGAAUUUAUUUUAAUUAGAUGAUGCCUCUGUACUUAGGAUUAAGCUCUGUACCACUAGUCCACGAUUUAGUAUGGACUGGGCCAGCUAGUCUCUAAAAUACGAGCCAAUUUCUGUACAUUUGGCCACAAUUAAAGGUCACUUCCUUCUAGGUGAAAGCAGUUUUGUUUUAAUUCAAGGAAAAUACCUUUGAAAUUAGCAUUCCAACUGAACUGUUAUGCACAUUUAAAUACUCAAUGUCUGUAAUGAAUAAAGAUAAAUUAAAAGUUGCUGUGCCCUUUCUUCUGUUUUCCACUUGCAUUUCAUUUGUACCCAGUAAAAAGCGAAAAUGUUGAAGUGGAAUAAACCAACAAUUAAGAAA